CCUACGGGUGGCAGCAGUGGGGGAUAUUGCACAAUGGGGGAAACCCUGAUGCAGCGACGCCGCGUGGGUGAAGGAGCGUUUCGGCACGUAAAGCCCUAUCAGCAGGGAAGAAAAUGACGGUACCUGACCAAGAAGCCCCGGCUAACUACGUGCCAGCAGCCGCGGUAAUACGUAGGGGGCAAGCGUUAUCCGGAUUUACUGGGUGUAAAGGGAGCGCAGACGGCAAUGCAAGCCAGGAGUGAAAGCCCAGGGACCAACCCCGGAACUGCUUUUGAAACUGUGUGGCUGGAGUACAGGAGGGGCAGGCGGAAUUCCUAGUGUAGCGGUGAAAUGCGUAGAUAUUAGGAGGAACACCAGUGGCGAAGGCGGCCUACUGGACUGUGACUGACGUUGAGGCUCGAAGGCGUGGGGAGCAAACAGGAUUAGAUACCCGAGUAGUC
rnacentral:rRNA from 1 species